GAUGAACGCUGGCGGCGUGCCUAAUACAUGCAAGUCGUACGGAAAGGCCCUUCGGGGUACUCGAGUGGCGGACGGCUGAGUAACGCGUGGGAACGUGCCCCAAAGUGAGGGAUAACGCACCGAAAGGUGUGCUAAUACCGCAUAUGGUCCUCGGAUUAGAGCUUCGGCGCUUUGGGAGCGGCCUGCGUACGAUUAGAUAGUUGGUGAGGUAAUGGCUCACCAAGUCGACGAUCGUUAGCUGGUCUGAGAGGAUGAUCAGCCAGAAUGGGACUGAGACACGGCCCAGACUCCUACGGGAGGCAGCAGUAAGGAAUCUUCCACAAUGGGGGCAACCCUGAUGGAGCAACGCCGCGUGCAGGAUGAAGGUUUUCGGAUCGUAAACUGCUUUUAUAAGUGAAGAAUAUGACGGUAACUUAUGAAUAAGGAUCGGCUAACUACGUGCCAGCAGCCGCAGUAAAAC
rnacentral:rRNA from 1 species